rnacentral:rRNA from 1 species
UUACGCUGUUAUCCCUAAGGUAAUUUAUUUUAAAAUUCUAAAUUUUAGGAUUUUUAAAUCAUUAAUUUAUGUUUUUAUAUUAAAAGUUUAAAUAAUUUUAAAAUUACCCCAAUUAAAUAAUAUUUUAUUUUUUUAAAUAUUUUAUUAUAAAAUUCUAUAGGGUCUUAUCGUCUAUUAAUUAAAUUUAAGAAUUUUUACUUAAAAUUUAAUUUUAAAUUUUAAUUAUUUUUAUAUAGUUUAUAUUUCAUUAAAUCAUUCAUUCUAGUUUUUAAUUAAAAAACUAUUUAUUAUGCUACCUUUGUACAGUUAUUGAUACUGCAGCCAUUAAAUUUUCAUGGGGCAGAUUUGACUUAAAAUUAUUUUCUAUAAGACAUGUUUUUGUUAAACAGGCG